GACGAACGCUGGCGGCGUGCUUAACACAUGCAAGUCGAGCGGAAAGGCCACUUCGGUGGUACUCGAGCGGCGAACGGGUGAGUAACACGUGAGUAAUCUGCCCUUGGCUUUGGGAUAGCCACCGGAAACGGUGAUUAAUACCGGAUAUGACCACUUCACGCAUGUGAUGGUGGUGGAAAGUUUUUCGGCCAGGGAUGUGCUCGCGGCCUAUCAGCUUGAUGGUGAGGUAAUGGCUCACCAUGGCUUCGACGGGUAGCCGGCCUGAGAGGGUGACCGGUCACACUGGGACUGAGACACGGCCCAGACUCCUACGGGAGGCAGCAGUGGGGAAUAUUGGACAAUGGGCGGAAGCCUGAUCCAGCAACGCCGCGUGAGGGAUGACGGCCUUCGGGUUGUAAACCUCUUUCAGAUGGGACGAUGAUGACGGUACCAUCAGAAGAAGCCCCGGCUAACUCCGUGCCAGCCGCCGCAGUAAUAC
rnacentral:rRNA from 1 species